AAACCUUGCAGACAUUGUACUAAGUAACAUAAGCCAGUCACAAUAGAGCAAAUAUUGGGUCAUUCUACUUGCAUGAGGCCUAAAAUAGUGAAACCAUAAAGACAGAAAGUAAGUAGAAUGAUAGUUUUCUCUUGCUGGGGAGAGAAAGGAGUAGAGAGUAAGUAAUUAUCUCUGGAUACAGAGUUUCAAUUUGGGAAAAAGAAGAGAGUUCUGCAGAUGGAUGGUGGUGCUGACUGCUCAAUAAUGUGAAGAAAAGGUGAAGGAUGGGAACCUGGCAUGCUGCAGUCCACGGGAUCGCAAAGAGUCAGACACGACUUAGAGACUGACCAACAGAGGAGGAUUAUGAUUGGUGGUAGGUAGGCCAUUGGUGACACUGAUGAGAAGUGCUUCGGUGAACGUUGAGGACCAAAACAGACUGGAGUGGGCCGCAGAGUGAGUUGC
ensembl:lncRNA